rnacentral:rRNA from 1 species
AUACGGAGGAUACAAGCGUUAUCCGGAUUUAUUGGGUUUAAAGGGUGCGCAGGCGGACUAAUAAGUCAGAGGUGAAAUUUUGCAGCUUAACUGUAAACGUGCCUUUGAUACUGUUAGACUAGAGUUUAAGGGACGUAACCGGAAUGUGAUGUGUAGCGGUGAAAUGCAUAGAUAUGUCACAGAACGCCGAUCGUGAAGACAGGUUACUAAACUGUUACUGACGCUGAUGCACGAAAGCGU